rnacentral:rRNA from 1 species
UGGGGAAUAUUGCACAAUGGAGGGAACUCUAAUGCAGCGACGCCGCGUGAGUGAUGAAGGAAUUCGUUUCGUAAAACUCUGUUCUAUGGGAAGAAAAGGACUGUACCAUAGGAGAAAGCUCCGGCUAAAUACGUGCCAGCAGCCGCGGUAAUACGUAUGGAGCGAGCGUUGUCCGGAAUUAUUGGGCGUAAAGGGUGCGCAGGCGGCUUUACAAGUUGGAUGUGAAAUAUUGUGGCUCAACCACAAACGUGCAUCCAAAACUGCAAAGCUUGAGUUAAGGAGAGGUAAGUGGAAUUCCUGGUGUAGCGGUGGAAUGCGUAGAUAUCAGGAGGAAUACCGGUGGCGAAGGCGACUUACUGGACUUAAACUGACGCUCAGGCACGAAAGCGUGGGGAGCAAACAGG